rnacentral:ncRNA from 1 species
UAAGCUAAGUUGAAGCAUAUUAAUAAGCAGAGGAAAAAAACUUACAAGGAUUCCCCUAGUAAUGACGAGAGAACUAGGAAGAAGCCAGCUUGAGAAUUGAACACCCUCAAAGUCUGAAUUAUAGUAUGGAAAAGCGUCCUUAACGGUGGACCAGGCACAAGUCCUCUAAAAAAAGGGCUAAAGAAAGUGAAAACCUCGUGGUGCUCAGACCCUGUUGCACCACGAGGUGCUAUUUGCGAGUUGAGUUGUUUGGGAAUCCAGCCCUAAUUGGGUGGUGAAUUUCGUCCAAGGCAAAAUACGAGCAAAAGACUGAUAGCGAACAAGUACCAUGAAGGAAAAAUGAAAGGGACGUUGAAAAGUGAGUCAAUGAGUGCUUGAAAUUGUCGGGAGAGAAGUGGAUGGUAGUUGAUGAUGCACCUUGGUCGGAUGUGGAAUGGCGAGAGCCAAUCUAUUGAUUAACUUGAGGCAUGGGCUGAUACGAAUUGCGAUGGUGGCAGAAGCCUUGGCCUUCGAUAUGCUUGUGGAAAUGUCAUCAUCGUGAUUGUGGCCAGUAACGCACCAUCUUGGUGAGCCUCGACACUUACAUGCUCCAAGCGUUAGCUUGCGGGCUCCACAUUUAGCUCAUCUUGAAACAUGG